AUUGAACGCUGGCGGCAGGUCUAACACAUGCAAGUCGAACGAGUGGCGGACGGGUGAGUAAUGUCUGGGAAACUGCCUGAUGGCGGGGGAUAACUACUGGAAACGGUAGCUAAUACCGCAUACCAUCAGAUGUGCCCAGAUGGGAGUAGCUUGUUGGUGGGGUAACGGCUCACCAAGGGGACGAUCCCUAGCUGGUCUGAGAGGAUGACCGGCCAGCCUGGAACGAAGACACGGUCCAGACUCAGACGGGAGGCAGCAGUGGGGAAUAUUGCACAAUGGGCGCAAGACUGAUGCAGCCAUGCCGCGUGUAUGAAGAAGGCCUUCGGGUUGUAAAGUACUUUCAGCGGGGAGGCGUUACCCGCAGAAGAAGCACCGGCUAACUCCGUGCCAGCAGCCGCGGUAAAUC
rnacentral:rRNA from 1 species